GUAGGGGGACACGCUUCAUAGAACAUGGCCCAUUUUAUCUCAGAUGGAGACAUACGUCUAUAUAAAGGGCUGAAGUAACUGCGGAGGUUAGGUAUUCAUUCAGUCAUAGCUGCAGAGGUGUGUUUGCACAUUCACAAGCAUAUUGUGGCUAGAGGAAUGGGAAUAAAGAUGCUUUUGCUGUUCUGUGUAUUGGCAUUCACUGGCCAAGGGCAAGGGGUUCCUGAAACUGAUGUACAAAGUUCAGGUGUCAGUGAAACUACAGUGAAGGACCCAGGGAGAGUUGGAGACCAGAUCAACCCCCCCAGACACCAUGACAGACUGUGUGCAUGUAAGGGGAGGAGGAGAGAGGGUUUGAGUGGAGGCUGCCUCUGCCAGGAGUCUGCCAAAUCCUACCGCAAGCCCAGGAAGGCCUUUGUGGAAAUGUGCCUAAGGAAAGGAUUCCAGAAUCAGUGGAAAUGCCAGAAGAUCAUGGAAAGAGUAGAGAGGUCAAAGGGUAGCCUAGGCAAAAACUUCAUGAGUAUUCCAAUUUAAAGAGUUGAUCUUUAAUAACUUCUGUAUUAACCUUGUAACCAUGUUUUGUAAUCUCAUGUUGCUCGCUCAAGAACCAUGACUGUUUUUCUUUUUUUUAAAUAUGAUAUAAUUAUACUCCUUUGAAAUACACAUUUUUAAAAACAAGUUUCACUAUGUGUGUGGAUUAGUUUCCAAGUUUUAGCAUUAGAUUUCCUAUUUCCUUUUGCAUGUUUUGUGCCACUCUAAAUCCCUCUGUUACUGCUUCAUUAAAUCCACAUUUCUUCACAGCGAUUUUGCAGAUAAAGAAAUCAACCAAGAUUGCACCAUUCAGUAGGACAUCGUUGAAAAGACAAAGAUGAAUUUAAGACAAUAAUUAAUGAAGAGGAAAUAUGAACAUACGACAACCCGUGUUUUACAUAAACACCAGUUUAAUGUAUUAUCGUUUUGAAACAUUUUACCUUUAAGGUAUUUAUAAGGUAAAUAAACCUGAAUUUGUACUUGAA